AUCAUGUGCAUGUGUUCCAUGUAGCUUAAUUUGUACCUAUGAGCAUUUACAACAAAUCUUCACUCAUGGCUUGUUUGUAUGAACUUUAAUAUUGCUGGGUUAAUUUUGUGGUGUGCUUGUUAUGGUUUUGCAUGCCGUGGUCUAAACUGUAGCUUAGUGUAUACAUCUGAGAAGUUACAUCAAAUAGUAAUAUUUGAAAUUACUGCGUUGGCGCCUCCUGUAAUCCACAAACCAGCAUAGAGUAGGGUUGCUUUCUUGAAUGAUCUAUUUUUUUUGGGGGAUUUCAGCUUGUCAAGUGAUCCCGCUAGCAUCUUCUUGUCCCCAUUGACCUGCACCAUACACUAGGGAGUAGCAGUAUUUUUUUGUUACCCAUGCGUUGGGAAAGAAAGAAUAGGUAGGUACCUCACUGAAGAUGCAUAUCCAAACAUUUAUGUCAAAUUAGGUGCACAUAGGGAAAGGAAAACUAAGUAGGCAACUUCUGAAAAUGCAUUACCAAAAUAAUUAGGCAACUUAGUGAAAAUGCAUAACCAGUUUGAUGCUGUCCAGCAGGAUUUUUUUAAGUCCCCAGCAGGAUAAUUAUGAGUAAUGAUCUUAUAAUAAUUCCAGCACAAUGCUUACUCUCUGAUUUUGUGAACUGUGUGGCUUCACAUAUCUAGCUAUCUGAAACAUGUGUUUACAAAGUUUGGCAUUUCUGUUCCUACAGUUCAAUACAAUAUAAAAAUAAAACUAUAGACAUCUAUUUCUGAGAUUUAGCUUACUGACAUAUGCAAUUGGGAUCCACGUUGAACAAGCAGGCAUGAUAUUCUCUUGACUUCUGCUUCUCACGUUUCGCAUGCCAUGUUCUGUUACGUCGGCACAACUAUAUUUCUGAACCUCUGCUGCCUUGUGGCUUGUGCCUAAAAGAUGUACACAACUAUAUUUGUGUGUUGGAAAACUACAUUAUUACAGUGCUUAUAAGUAGUGUUUUUUUUGUUAUCAGUUAAGCCACAUUUGUGUUGUUUUAUUGUUUUUAUGUACAGGGCACUGAGGAAGGCCUGAUACUGGAUGGAAAAGCUUUUGUUCUGGAUAGGCUAUGAACUGGAAGAUGCUCCACAGCAUCAGGUGGCUGCCAGCCACUAGCUACCCUUCCCAUCUCCAUGCCUCCCUCUCCAAGCACCAGGUCGAGCUCAAGCCUCCAGCAUGCUGCAAGCCACUCAACGUUAAUGGUGCCAGCUAAUUUCUUUUGGACUCUUUUGUACAGCAGACCUCAUUAAUGGCUAACAUUUGUAUUUAGCCGUUAAGUGCUAUUUUGGAAUUGUACUCAACAACGACCAAUGUUUGUAUGGCUAACGUGAUAACUUAUAUCAUUCUGAUUGUUUGGAUUUAGUCGUGAAUGAAUACGAUUUGUUGGCCUA